AUGUUCCCUUUGGCAGCACAGACAUUAAAAUGAGAGCAAUAUAGAGCAGAUUAUCAUGGCCCUGUGCAAGCAUGGCAUAAAAAUUCAUGAAGUGUUACAUGUUUAU
ensembl:snRNA U6 U6 spliceosomal RNA